ACGAACGAUACAGGGAGAGCAAGACCAACAACACACUACCUGCCUGGCACGAAUACGUCUUUGAAUGAGCUGUGUAGGGCAGCGUUUGCCCAUAUGCCUCAGACAUUCUUUUUCGACGGGGAUAUGCCAUUCGUUGGGUGUGAAGUACCAUGCCGGAGCAACCCCUACCCCACAGCUACUGGGUGGCAAUAUCGCGUUGGGACGGCACCUGGCCUGGACGGAACACCCUGCCAGGGUGAAAAUAUGAUAUGUAUACGUGGUGAAUGUGUACCCGCUCCCGUACCCAAAAAGAAGACGAAGAAGGAGAAGAACGAUAAAAAGAAGAAAAAGGCGAAGAAGGAAACCAC